CCUGGCCCGGCCCGGCCCCCCCGGCCGGCCCCGCAGCCAUGGCGGCCGGGCGGGAGCGGGUCGCCCGCCUCCUGCGGCAGCUCCAGCGGGCCGCGUGUCGGUGCCCGAGUCACUGCCACACGUAUUCCCGAGUUCCUGAACAUGCUACCCUGGGAAAUACAGACUAUGCUUUUGAGAUGGCCGUUUCAAACAUCCGCUAUGGAGAAGGAGUUACUAAAGAGAUUGGCAUGGACCUGAAGAAUCUGGGUGCUCAAAGAGUUUGUCUGAUGACAGAUAAAAACCUCUCCCAACUCCCUCCUGUAAAUGCAGUAUUGAAUUCCUUGGCAAAAUAUGGUGUAAACUUUCAGAUGUAUGAUGAAGUCCGGGUGGAGCCGACAGACCAAAGUUUCCUGGAUGCCAUUGAAUUUGCUAAAAAGGGGGAGUUUGAUGCCUAUGUUGCUGUUGGAGGUGGGUCUGUAAUAGACACCUGCAAAGCUGCCAACCUGUACGCCUCCAGCCCCACGUCAGACUUCUUGGAUUAUGUCAACGCUCCCAUUGGGAAAGGGAAGCCUGUCACCGUGCCCCUUAAGCCACACAUUGCAGUUCCCACAACAGCUGGAACUGGAAGCGAAACCACUGGUGUUGCCAUUUUUGACUUCAAAGAACUAAAAGUAAAAACUGGUAUUGCUUCAAGAGCCAUUAAGCCAACGCUGGGCAUCAUUGAUCCUUUACACACGCUGUCUAUGCCAGAGCGAAUAGUGGCCAACAGUGGCUUUGAUGUGCUUUGCCACGCUCUCGAGUCAUACACCGCUCUUCCUUACAAGAUGCGCAGUCCCUGCCCUUCCAAUCCAAUCAACAGGCCAGCUUACCAAGGCAGCAACCCCAUCAGCGACAUCUGGGCUCUUCAUGCUCUGCGCAUUGUGGCUAAAUAUCUGAAAAGAGCCAUCAGAAACCCUGAAGACCGUGAAGCAAGAGCCAACAUGCACCUAGCAAGUGCUUUUGCUGGUAUUGGCUUUGGCAACGCUGGUGUUCAUCUCUGCCAUGGAAUGUCCUACCCUAUUUCUGGUUUGGUGAAAACUUAUAAACCAAAGGAUUAUAACGUGGAUCACUCUUUAGUGCCACAUGGCCUUUCUGUGGUGCUGACAUCCCCAGCAGUGUUUGCUUUCACAGCACAGGUACAUCCUGAGCGGCACUUGGAAGCUGCAGAGAUACUAGGAGCUGACAUCCGCACUGCCAGAAUCAAAGAUGCGGGGUUUAUUUUGGCAGACACGCUCCGGAAAUUCCUAUUUGAUCUGAAUGUUGAUGAUGGCUUAGCUGCAAUUGGUUAUUCUAAAGCAGACAUCCCCGCAUUAGUCAAAGGCACUCUGCCUCAGUAAGUUUUCUUCAGAACACAGCAGCCACCCACUCGUGUCGGCAAGGCAGCGUGCUGCAGGCUGAUGCUGCUAACACAACAAAUCAGCAAGGUGUACUUCACGCUGCAGGGUUGGAGCUAUGCUGGGACAAACCUUCGUACCUGAAGUUAAAAUAGGAUUUUGUUUUUCUUUUUAAAUGAGUCGGUUGAAAUUGAUUCUAUUCACAACAGGGUAGUGAGCCUAGCAAAGAUCAUGUCCCAAGGCCAAAAAGGUGCAUGGGUUUCAGGGGGGAGAUGAGGAAGGCUGAUAUUGAGCGAUGGCAGCAGGCCGGCCCUCCAGCCCACCCACCCCCUGCAACCAUACCAGAGGCAGUCGCAGUGUGGCUGAACCACCGAUGAGCACAAAGUUGCUCAUUCUUGGCAUUACACCAGAAUUUACUGAGUCAGACCGGAGGAGCCAGGGCCUUGCUGUCUGGGCAUCAGCACAUAACAGCAGGCUUGUGUGGGGGCAGCGCUGGUGCCUGUGUGUCGAGCUGCCCUGCGGAGGGAGCAUCCUGCUGCUGUUGCUGGGAAAUGCUGUGGUCUGUCAGGGUGAUGAUCGUCCCCCGUCACCCCGUGGGACUUUACAGGUAACACAGGGUUGCAAAACUGCAGUUUGGCCCAAAGCCUCCUGGUUUAAGCCUGAUGAAUUUACUGAGUAUUUGAGCUCUGAGUUACCAUGUAUUGGGAGUCUGAAAAAAGCAACAUGCCUUUUUGUCCUGGUGCUGUUUGAAUUCUCCAUUUGUUUUCAAAACUGCACGGAAGAAUCUGAGCCAUUUCCUUGGCUGGAUCUGUGUGUACAGCCGUGCCGAUCAGAGAUGAGGCAAGGUUUCAUUCAGUUGUUGCAGCUGGUACCUGCAAAGUCCCUAUUGCACGUGAAGUUGUCUGCACAAAGCUGCGCUUCUCGGACUCAUCGCAGGCCGUGCUAAUCGUGCUGGUUAUGAACUGUGAACGUCUCUGAGGUGACUUCCUCUCCGUGCCCGCCCGAUAUCCACAGAUGAACUUCACAGCGUGGUGCUCUCGCUUUGCGGCCACAUCCGGCUGCUCGGCAAAUCACAGCCCUGUGGGCACAGGGGGAAGCGGAGCAGCUGCGGCAGCGGUGUGAGCUCUGCCUUUUGCUUUUGCUGAGCCUCCUCCAGAUGCUGGGGGCUGGAGGCACUCCCUCCCUGGCAUCCGACCCCGUGUGCGAGGCAAGCCCCGUAGCAAAUGACGUCCGCUGUCUCACAGGUGGAAAAAGGGGAAAAACAAAUCAGAGCGUUUACAGGGACAGCCUCUUCCACCAGGGAGACGUAGAAACAGGUUGUAGGAGGAGAAGCUGUCUUGGAAAGUAACAGCAUUCACGUAGAGGCUGCUUUGCCGAGGCACAAUGCGUUCCCGGUGUGGGCAUCUGUCUUUGCAGGUGUUUGUAAAUCUCCCCAAUACUUCAGUAAAUGGUAAAUUCAUUGGUUGUUGAAAGCAUGAAGUUACUGGUCAUAACGCUACAAGUGCAUUCAUGUUAGGCUGUUUCAGCUAAGUGGAUCCGUGUCAUAUUUCUGCAAUAACUGAAUCCGUACGCAAUCACAGCUCCCCACCCUGACCAGCGUGGGGGCUUUUCGCAAUUGCAAUCCCUGCCUCUGUAGUUAUUUCUGUCAAACAGAACGGUGAAGCGUACAGCUGAGUUUCAUUUCAGUCAGUGGGACUUACACAUCUGAAAACUCGGGUGAAUCACAGGCCAGAUUAAAACCAAACCUAAUUAUUUUCUGUUCUUGCUCCAAGGUGUCCAGCUAUAUAUCAAGCAGCUUCACUACCUUCCUUUGGUGUGUCUCUUCUCUGGAGCCUGAGCUGCACACACUGUUUAUUCUCCCCAUCUACUGGGCUUCCCGGCCUUUGAGAGAUGUUGUAUUUUGAAAAUCUCAGUGCCUAAAAAUUAUGUUCCUAGUUCCAAUGCUGGCAAAUGAAUUUAAAAUGGACUGUAUUCCCAGAACGCUGCCCCCAGCGUACCUACAUCUGUGUCUGGCAAGACCCGUGUCUGAAGUACUCGGCUUUGCAAGUGAACUGCUUUUUAAUCCUCCUUCUGUGUGUUCAAUUAUAAGGUGUUUCAGCUAGUAUAUUAUUGAAAGUACAGUACAGUUGAUGAUGCUUCAACCUUAAUGACUUGAUUACUUAUUUGCAAAACCUUGUUAUUCUCUGCGAAGGACAUGAGCACACAGUUGAGCUGCACAGUUAGCUGCUCUUUGAUUCAAUUUAUUGGCAACCUUCUCUAAUCUGGUUUUUCUUUGAUCUUGCAGGAGAGAGUGACUAAACUGUCACCACGUCCCCAAACAGAAGAAGACUUAUCUGCCCUCUUUGAGGCUUCCAUGAAGCUUUAUUAGCUUAACCAUUUUGCUCAGAAAAGUGUGCCCUUUUAUAACACAAAGAUAUAUAUGAAGUAUUCAUAGGAGGAGCAAACCAGAGUAAAGCAUGCUUGCACCCUCAACAGGAACCACGUAACAGCAAGAUAUCAUCCAUCACGGUCAUUUUGUCUCCGUGGAGAAAACCGCUCCCUUUUCCUGCUGUGUUCUGUGGAAGGAAGCUAUCAACUGUAUGUGCGAAGUGACCGCUUCUGCUGAACUCCUGCAGGUGCUGUCGCUCAGAGCGCAGCCACCAGCCUAAUGAAGUGGCAGUAGGCUGUGGUUCAGUAUGAAAAAGUGGUGGUGUAGCAUAUGGCUGCACUGUGCCCCGCUGGGAGGGCUGGUCAGACGUGGGAAUGAGGGUGCACGUUCGGAGCAGUUAACCAGCUGGUUGACUGUCAACUGAGAAGGGGAAGUGGGAAAGGGAGAAAUGAAACUAAAAUUUUAAUACUAUUUUUCUUUAUUUUUUUAAAAAAAAGUGCACACGGUUGCGUGUGCAGUUCAUUUAAAUCAGAUUCUGCUUCAUGUUGGACCCUUUCAGCACCAGAUUCAUGCAGUGAGCACAGCACAAGACAAAUGCAAGAAGAACCCCAUAACCUGCUGGGAAGGGAGCAGUUCUGCAGUCACCCAGCCGAAGCAGAAGGCUCUAUAUGCACACCUUUGUGCUUUUGUGUUGGUCUGAUAAGAUUAAUGCUAGCCUGGAAUCUAAAAAGAUCUAUCUAAAAAUACAGAUGUGUCCUGGAUGCUGGCGUUGGGUCUGGUUUAAUGUUAUAUUGAAGUAGGUGGAUGGAUACUGAUUGGAUACCAGAGAUUUUCUUCUUUACCAUAGAGUGGGUUUGGUGGCCAUAGGGACUGCACUGCCAAAAUGCCUCAGCCUGUUCUGGAAAGCACAUCUAUUUUCCAUGUCCUUAAUCUUGUCCUGUGCUGAAAUUGCUUGGAGGAACCUCUAUCACGAAGAGUGCCUUCAUAAUAGCAAGGGGUGAGGGAUUCAUUUUAUUUUAUUAUGCAAAGUUGCCAUAUUUGGGGGAAAAAAAACUUCUUGUCAAACCCUUUUGUGUAUAAUAUUUUGCUCUGUUUCAUCUUUUCGCUCCUACCUUUCUCCAGACUGUGGUAGCAACCCUGAAGAGAGAUUUUUUUUUUUUUCUAGGAGCCUAAUUCAUGGCAGCAGUGCUGCGUUUGGAAAGUUCUGGGGAACUGAGCAGCACGUGGGUUUCAUUACUGCACCAGAGCACUUUGAUGGGCUACUUAGGAUUGUAGGAUAUUUCACUCCAGCACACUUUUUAUUUGCUGUUUAUGCUGCUGUGGCAGUUACUAGCAGGCUGCAUUUUCAACUGAUAGGACCUCACACUAAACUUCAUAUACUCGGGUAACCCAGAGCUCUUGCUAAUUUCUAAACUAAGCCUUACAACCCGUUCUGAUGUAAUAGGUUUUCUCCAUGUUUUGUGGAUGAGACAAAGGCUCUGAUACUAUACCUAACCCAGCUUAAGCACCUGGUACUGUAAGAAGGGGACAUUUCUUUUCCUGGCAGUUUUCUGAGCAAAAUCAAAGGAGUUCAAGCCACCCUGCAGAGCUGUCUUUCAAAUAACGAUGGUUUGACAAGGAGUCAUGUCCUGGCUCCUGUCCUAUUCUGAGCAUUGGUAGUUUCAUUCACAACUGAAUAAGGGUUUGUGUGUGUGUGUGUGUGUAUUAUCUAACUAAACUAUUCUGUACUGAGAAAUCUAGUCAAUCAAAUAUACCUGUAUCUUUGAACAUGUCUGUUUUGUGCAUGUGAACGUGGUGUUUGAGGGGACGAAGGGGGGUGAAAUUGUGGUGGUUGGGCAUGUCUGAGCGACUUGUUCCAUGCGUGACUUGUUACUGCCCUGUUACUAAAGGCCUCCGUGAUGCAUCUGUUACCACCUUGAGAUGAUACUGAAAUCCAAAUAAUAAAUAGUAUUGUACUUGCCAUAAACACAA